UGGGGUGUUGCUCAGUGGUAGAGCACCUGCUUAGCACGUGGGUGGUCCUGGAUUCAAUCCUCAGCACCACAC
rnacentral:tRNA from 1 species